rnacentral:rRNA from 1 species
UCAAGUGAAGAAGCGCAUACGGUGGAUGCCUUGGCAGUCAGAGGCGAUGAAAGACGUGGUAGCCUGCGAAAAGCUUCGGGGAGUCGGCAAACAGACUUUGAUCCGGAGAUCUCUGAAUGGGGGAACCCACCUAGGAUAACCUAGGUAUCUUGUACUGAAUCCAUAGGUGCAAGAGGCGAACCAGGGGAACUGAAACAUCUAAGUACCCUGAGGAAAAGAAAUCAACCGAGAUUCCCUUAGUAGUGGCGAGCGAACGGGGAUUAGCCCUUAAGCUUCAUUGAUUUUAGCGGAACGCUCUGGAAAGUGCGGCCAUAGUGGGUGAUAGCCCCGUACGCGAAAGGAUCUUUGAAGUGAAAUCGAGUAGGACGGAGCACGAGAAACUUUGUCUGAACAUGGGGGGACCAUCCUCCAAGGCUAAAUACUACUGACUGACCGAUAGUGAACCAGUACCGUGAGGGAAAGGCGAAAAGAACCCCGGAGAGGGGAGUGAAAUAGAACCUGAAACCGUAUGCGUACAAGCAGUGGGAGCCUACUUGUUAGGUGACUGCGUACCUUUUGUAUAAUGGGUCAGCGACUUAUAUUCAGUGGCAAGCUUAACCGUAUAGGGUAGGCGUAGCGAAAGCGAGUCUUAAUAGGGCGUUUAGUCGCUGGGUAUAGACCCGAAACCGGGCGAUCUAUCCAUGAGCAGGUUGAAGGUUAGGUAACACUGACUGGAGGACCGAACCCACUCCCGUUGAAAAGGUAGGGGAUGACUUGUGGAUCGGAGUGAAAGGCUAAUCAAGCUCGGAGAUAGCUGGUUCUCCUCGAAAGCUAUUUAGGUAGCGCCUCAUGUAUCACUCUGGGGGGUAGAGCACUGUUUCGGCUAGGGGGUCAUCCCGACUUACCAAACCGAUGCAAACUCCGAAUACCCAGAAGUGCCGAGCAUGGGAGACACACGGCGGGUGCUAACGUCCGUCGUGAAAAGGGAAACAACCCAGACCGCCAGCUAAGGUCCCAAAGUUGUGGUUAAGUGGUAAACGAUGUGGGAAGGCUUAGACAGCUAGGAGGUUGGCUUAGAAGCAGCCACCCUUUAAAGAAAGCGUAAUAGCUCACUAGUCGAGUCGGCCUGCGCGGAAGAUGUAACGGGGCUCAAACCACACACCGAAGCUGCGGGUGUCACGUAAGUGACGCGGUAGAGGAGCGUUCUGUAAGCCUGUGAAGGUGAGUUGAGAAGCUUGCUGGAGGUAUCAGAAGUGCGAAUGCUGACAUGAGUAACGACAAUGGGUGUGAAAAACACCCACGCCGAAAGACCAAGGGUUCCUGCGCAACGUUAAUCGACGCAGGGUUAGUCGGUUCCUAAGGCGAGGCUGAAAAGCGUAGUCGAUGGGAAACAGGUUAAUAUUCCUGUACUUCUGGUUACUGCGAUGGAGGGACGGAGAAGGCUAGGCCAGCUUGGCGUUGGUUGUCCAAGUUUAAGGUGGUAGGCUGAAAUCUUAGGUAAAUCCGGGGUUUCAAGGCCGAGAGCUGAUGACGAGUCGUCUUUUAGAUGACGAAGUGGUUGAUGCCAUGCUUCCAAGAAAAGCUUCUAAGCUUCAGGUAACCAGGAACCGUACCCCAAACCGACACAGGUGGUCGGGUAGAGAAUACCAAGGCGCUUGAGAGAACUCGGGUGAAGGAACUAGGCAAAAUGGCACCGUAACUUCGGGAGAAGGUGCGCCGGCUAGGGUGAAGGAUUUACUCCGUAAGCUCUGGCUGGUCGAAGAUACCAGGCCGCUGCGACUGUUUAUUAAAAACACAGCACUCUGCAAACACGAAAGUGGACGUAUAGGGUGUGACGCCUGCCCGGUGCCGGAAGGUUAAUUGAUGGGGUUAGCGCAAGCGAAGCUCUUGAUCGAAGCCCCGGUAAACGGCGGCCGUAACUAUAACGGUCCUAAGGUAGCGAAAUUCCUUGUCGGGUAAGUUCCGACCUGCACGAAUGGCGUAACGAUGGCGGCGCUGUCUCCACCCGAGACUCAGUGAAAUUGAAAUCGCUGUGAAGAUGCAGUGUAUCCGCGGCUAGACGGAAAGACCCCGUGAACCUUUACUGUAGCUUUGCACUGGACUUUGAGCCUGCUUGUGUAGGAUAGGUGGGAGGCUUUGAAGCGUGGACGCCAGUUCGCGUGGAGCCAUCCUUGAAAUACCACCCUGGCAUGCUUGAGGUUCUAACUCUGGUCCGUAAUCCGGAUCGAGGACAGUGUAUGGUGGGCAGUUUGACUGGGGCGGUCUCCUCCUAAAGAGUAACGGAGGAGUACGAAGGUGCGCUCAGACCGGUCGGAAAUCGGUCGUAGAGUAUAAAGGCAAAAGCGCGCUUGACUGCGAGACAGACACGUCGAGCAGGUACGAAAGUAGGUCUUAGUGAUCCGGUGGUUCUGUAUGGAAGGGCCAUCGCUCAACGGAUAAAAGGUACUCCGGGGAUAACAGGCUGAUACCGCCCAAGAGUUCAUAUCGACGGCGGUGUUUGGCACCUCGAUGUCGGCUCAUCACAUCCUGGGGCUGAAGCCGGUCCCAAGGGUAUGGCUGUUCGCCAUUUAAAGUGGUACGCGAGCUGGGUUUAGAACGUCGUGAGACAGUUCGGUCCCUAUCUGCCGUGGACGUUUGAGAUUUGAGAGGGGCUGCUCCUAGUACGAGAGGACCGGAGUGGACGAACCUCUGGUGUUCCGGUUGUCACGCCAGUGGCAUUGCCGGGUAGCUAUGUUCGGAAAAGAUAACCGCUGAAAGCAUCUAAGCGGGAAACUUGCCUCAAGAUGAGAUCUCACUGGGAACUUGAUUCCCCUGAAGGGCCGUCGAAGACUACGACGUUGAUAGGCUGGGUGUGUAAGCGUUGUGAGGCGUUGAGCUAACCAGUACUAAUUGCCCGUGAGGCUUGACCA